GUAGGUGACCUGCGGAGGAUCAUUAAAGAGACGUUGCCCUUCGGGGUAUACCUCCCACCCUUUGUUUAUUAUACCUUUGUUGCUUUGGCGGGCCCGUCCUCGGACCACCGGCUUCGGCUGGUCAGUGCCCGCCAGAGGACCUAAAACUCUGUUUGUUCAUAUUGUCUGAGUACUAUAUAAUAGUUAAAACUUUCAACAACGGAUCUCUUGGUUCUGGCAUCGAUGAAGAACGCAGCGAAAUGCGAUAAGUAAUGUGAAUUGCAGAAUUCAGUGAAUCAUCGAAUCUUUGAACGCACAUUGCGCCCCCUGGUAUUCCGGGGGGCAUGCCUGUUCGAGCGUCAUUACAACCCUCAAGCUCUGCUUGGUAUUGGGCUCUGCCGGUCCCGGCAGGCCUUAAAAUCAGUGGCGGUGCCAUUCGGCUUCAAGCGUAGUAAUUCUUCUCGCUUCGGAGACCCGGGUGCGUGCUUGCCAGCAACCCCCAAUUUUUUCAGGUUGACCUCGGAUCAGGUAGGGAUACCCGCUGAACUUAAGCAUAUC
rnacentral:rRNA from 1 species